UUGGUGAGGUAAUGGCUCAGGACGUACGCUGGCGGCACGCCUAACACAUGCAAGUCGAACGCAGUAGCAAUACUGAGUGGCAGACGGGUGAGUAACAUGUGGGAAUCUGCCUUGUGGUUCAGGACAACAUUGGGAAACCGAUGCUAAUACUGGAUAAGCCCUUACGGGGAAAGUUUUAAUGCCAUAAGAUGAGCCCGCAUUUGAUUAGUUAGUUGGUGAGGUAAUGGCUCACCAAGACAAUGAUCAAUAGCUGAUCUGAGAGGAUGAUCAGCCACACUGGGACUGAGACACGGCCCAGACUCCUACGGGAGGCAGCAGUGGGGAAUCUUGCACAAUGGAGGAAACUCUGAUGCAGCGAUGCCGCGUGAGUGAAGAAGGCCUUUGGGUUGUAAAGCUCUUUUGUAGGGGAAGAUAAUGACUGUACCCUAAGAAUAAGGUCCGGCUAACUUCGUGCCAGCAGCCGCGGUAAUACGAAGGGACCUAGCGUAGUUCGGAAUUACUGGGCGUAAAGCGCGCGUAGGCCGUUGAGUUAGUUAAUUGUGAAAUCCCAAAGCUUAACUUUGGAACUGCAAUUAAAACUGCUCGACUAGAGUUUGAUAGAGGAAAGCGGAAUACAUAGUGUAGAGGUGAAAUUCGUAGAUAUUAUGUAGAACACCAGUUGCGAAGGCGGCUUUCUGGAUCAACACUGACGCUGAGGCGCGAAAGUAUGGGUAGCAAAGAGGAUUAGAUACCCUCGUAGUCCAUACCAUAAACGAUGAUUGCUAGAAUAUCGUGACUGGGAAAC
rnacentral:rRNA from 1 species